ACCAAGGCGACGAUGGGUAGGGGUUCUGAGAGGAAGGUCCCCCACAUUGGAACUGAGACACGGUCCAAACUCCUACGGGAGGCAGCAGUGAGGAAUAUUGGUCAAUGGGCGAGAGCCUGAACCAGCCAAGUAGCGUGAAGGACGACGGCCCUACGGGUUGUAAACUUCUUUUAUAAGGGAAUAAAGUUCGCCACGUGUGGUGUUUUGUAUGUACCUUAUGAAUAAGCAUCGGCUAAUUCCGUGCCAGCAGCCGCGGUAAUACGGAAGAUGCGAGCGUUAUCCGGAUUUAUUGGGUUUAAAGGGAGCGUAGGCGGGCUUUUAAGUCAGCGGUCAAAUGCCACGGCUCAACCGUGGCCAGCCGUUGAAACUGCAAGCCUUGAGUCUGCACAGGGCACAUGGAAUUCGUGGUGUAGCGGUGAAAUGCUUAGAUAUCACGAAGAACUCCGAUCGCGAAGGCAUUGUGCCGGGG
rnacentral:rRNA from 1 species